rnacentral:rRNA from 1 species
GACGAACGCUGGCGGCGUGCUUAACACAUGCAAGUCGAACGGAAAGGCCCUGCUUUUGUGGGGUGCUCGAGUGGCGAACGGGUGAGUAACACGUGAGUAACCUGCCCUUGACUUUGGGAUAACUUCAGGAAACUGGGGCUAAUACCGGAUAGGAGCUCCUGCUGCAUGGUGGGGGUUGGAAAGUUUCGGCGGUUGGGGAUGGACUCGCGGCUUAUCAGCUUGUUGGUGGGGUAGUGGCUUACCAAGGCUUUGACGGGUAGCCGGCCUGAGAGGGUGACCGGCCACAUUGGGACUGCGAUACGGACCAGACUCCUACGGUAGGCAGCAGUGGGGAAUAUUGCACAAUGGGCGGAAGCCUGAUGCAGCAACGCCGCGUGCGGGAUGACGGCCUUCGGGUUGUAAACCGCUUUCGCCUGUGACGAAGCGUGAGUGACGGUAAUGGGUAAAGAAGCACCGGCUAACUACGUG